UACUCCUACGGGACGCAGCAGUGGGGAAUAUUGCACAAUGGGGGAAACCCUGAUGCAGCGACGCCGCGUGAGCGAUGAAGUAUUUCGGUAUGUAAAGCUCUAUCAGCAGGGAAGAAAAUGACGGUACCUGACUAAGAAGCCCCGGCUAACUACGUGCCAGCAGCCGCGGUAAUACGUAGGGGGCAAGCGUUAUCCGGAUUUACUGGGUGUAAAGGGAGCGUAGACGGCUG
rnacentral:rRNA from 1 species